GAAGAGAAAUUGUGCCAAAGAGCUAUCCUAUUUAAAGAGAAUAACUGGAGAGAGUCGUUCCAGCAGCCUUUCUGAUGACAGAAAAGGGUGUGAGCGUCCUUAGAAGAUAAAAGCAUGUUCUCAGAACUGAGAACCGGGGCCAGGCCAGCCAUUUGGCAUCCAGUACCUAACUGAUCCCUCCUAGCAGCUCUGUGAAUCUGAUUUUUGGUAUUAUCUUCAAUUCACUGGACAGGUCCAGGUCAUCAGCUGCGAUCUCUAAGCCUGCCCUUUACAGCAUAUACAACUCUGCUGUGGGAUGGUCUGUAUGUCCAGUGUGUUGCUGAUUGGUCAAUAAAUAAAUCACUGAUUGGCCAGUGGCCAGGCAGGAAGUAUAAGUGGGACAAGGAGGAGAAUAAAGCUGGGAAGUGGAAGGCUGAGUCAGAGACACUGCCAGCCGCCACGAUGAGAAACACCAUGUGAAGAUGCCGGACACAGACUCUAAAGAUCCUCAACAGUGUAAUUCUACUUGAAGAUCUUGGCUUCUGAAGAUCACUGCCCUUAAACAUCAGACCCUGCCUCCAGAUGCCUCUUUGCUCACAGAGGCAGUGUAUCUGAACUGCUUCCUGGUGCUUUUUGCAAGCUCAGUUGAAAUUAUAAAGGAGAGGAUGCUGCUACUGGGAAGAAAGAUGGAUCUGCGGGAAAAGACAGUGAGACAGUCCCAGGAACACAGAGAUUUGUAACUGACGGAGGAUGGAAGAAAAGCAAAUGAAGAAUGGCAUCCAAAGUUUGUUUCAGCAACAUGGUUGGACCAAGCACUCCAUAGUUCAUUCAAGUCAGUAAGAAAUAAAGUUAUUUAUUGCUAUCUUGAUGAAUGGUUCAUUUCAAGAAAACCUUACAUACUUAUACUUCAAGAAAAAUGACUGAAUGCAGCCUUCAUCUUUGCUUCUUGGAAUGAACUGUCUGGGCUUGUCCCUCUUCUAUUCAGUUAGCUCAGUUUUCCGAUAGAUAGAUGAAGUGGUAUAGGUAACAAUGGCUUCAGAAGGAUAUAGUCAUAGGUAUUUUUCAACUCAAGUUGAACAUAUUCAUCUCUCAGUAAUGCCUGUAUCCUAAUCAGAAUUUAAGGGGUACACCAUACUUAGACAGAGAAUUACCAUAAUUCAGAUCCAAGAAGACACUGAUUAAAGAAGAAAAUCUGGCUGCUUAUCUUUGGAGAAAGAUCUGAGUUUGAACUUAGUUUAUGAUAUCUUUGGUUUAUGUAGACUUUGUUGAGUUGCUUAAUUAACUCUCUGUAAAAUGGACCUAGUUAUAUCAACCUCAUAGGA